ensembl:lncRNA
AAAACAGUAUUAUUGUUUUUAUUUAAAACAUAGAUAUUUUUUUACACACAGCCUACUCCUGUUGCUGAGCGAAAACAAGCUGCACACUCAUCCAGUACCCCUGCCAGUACUGUGAAUGGAACUGCCGAUUACCGUCCUUUACUCCCCCCUGCUCGGAGCGAGGACUUGGUACAUUCCGUUUGUUGCUGCUGUAGCUAGUAUGUCACCAAUUCAGUAGUAGCAUAACAGUCAGCCUAACAUUAGCUUGAACGAGGUCUGUCGAGAAGAGUUACAAAUAAACAAACAAUAGAAAGAGACUAACAAGCAGUCACAUAGGUAGUGGAAAAGCCCGGACGAGAGAGAAAAACAAGGAAUUACGCUGCUGUUUUCUCCGCGCCCAGUUGCCUUCCUUUGUUUGGCGUCCCUGAUAUGACCCUGUUUAAGAGUGAACACCGCAGUCCAAGAUAUAUGAGCAUGAGUGGGGAGCUGAAGCCCGUUCGUCCCAGGACCGCGGGCAAGCGAGCCAGCAGCACUUCCUAUGGCAGGACGGACUUCGACGUGGAGUAUGACAGCUACCAGGAGGACUACUAUGACAGGGUGUACGACUACCAGCGCGUGCCCGCCCCCCUGCACCCGCUCCCCCAUGGACCCAGCCAGGCCAAGAGACCCCGCUCGUCCUCCCACUCCUCCGGCCACAGACGCAGCCGGGACAGAACUCACUCCAAGCUCUCCAGAGCCAAGUCCACUAGUUCAACCCCGGCCAAGCCUGCAGGUGAGGAGCUGCAGGUGAUUAAGCUGAGCUGACUCUGAUUAAGACACAAAUUGAUGGGCUGCUCGACAGCCUGGACAAGAUGGACACCCAGAAAAACAACCACAAAGGGUCUCCAUUGAGAGAGGACAGUCCGGCCGGCUCCCCGUACCCUCCCUCCGCCAGCAGCCCAGAGCAGUCCCUCCCCCCUCUGUCUCCCCCCAGCUCCCGCCAUAGAGUCCAGAGAGAGAGCCCCGAGCUGGGGGAGGCCACCGACGACGAGCACCACUCGAUAAGCAAUCACAGCUCUGACCUUGAGGAGGACAUGUGAGACUGGAGCGAAAGACAAGUGUGCCAAACACACCGGAAGCAAGAACCGCCAUCCUGCCAUCCAUCGCCCCCCCCCCCACCCCGCCCCCAUCACAGGCCCCGCCUCCCCAGUGCACCACGCGGAACCGGAGCAGAACGCACCCAGGAAGUGUCUUCUCUCUCGUACCUAAUAUACUAAGUUCUUAUGGUGCAGCCCCAUAGUCCCGUUAAACCUGUCUCCUUUCCUCUGUUCCUCGCUGUGAUAAAUAAUCUAUUAUAAAGAGGAGGAUGUGCAAGUACACCACAUACCUUCACACACAACCUUCACCCCCCCAUCCCCCUUCCCCCCCUAGACCCAUCACUCACGGUCACCUUUUUGACCGUGCGUUUUACUCUAAAAACAUAGAAUAGUGUUUCUCUCCAUACAUAUUGAAUAUUGAAUGAAUCGCGAGAUUGGAUUGAAGGUGAUUAAACGACAACAAUCACAUCUUCUGCUUGCUGUCAUGUUGACGUCAGAUGGCUCAUAGUAACACCAGGCCCUCGUUUCCACCUUUUCAGCCCUGCUUCAAGGUCUUUGAAUAUAUAUAUCAUUAUCUCUUCCACUCCGGGCAAAUCCUACCCUGUGUGUUCCUGUCCCCUUCACCCGUCCCUCUGACCUCCUCGGCUGUGUUCUCGUUUGCUUUAGGAGUUUGUUUUUAUUUGUUCUCUCUUUUUUAAGUCAUUAUGCUCUAUUGUAAUUAUCAAGAUGUAACACGUGUUGUGAGUGUUCGGACACACAGGAAACACUCAAUAGACCAGUACUUAAAGGUAUUUUCAUACUGACGUCAACAUACCUGUGUUUUGUACUGGGUCUUACCGUAGAAUGGCCACACUAAAUGAAAUAGAAAAAAGCGUUGUUGUUUUUUCUGUAUUUGGGGGGUGUUGGUUGGGGGGGCAGAACAGCUAUCAAUAAGAUCAUCAGACCAACAUGUUUUCUUUGCUAAUUAUCAAAACAAAAAACCUUUCCACAUUUGUGCAAUACCGAACACUUAUGAAGGCAAAUUAAGGAUAAGUACAUCAAGUUACAUAAUAUAGCAUGUUUUUUUUUAGCAAUAUGUACAUUGAAACAAAUUGUGAAAUAUGGAUAAAUAUAGUUUGAAAUAUCAACGUUGGUGUUCAGGUGUGGAGAUAAUUGUAAAUGGUAUGUUGGCAAAUACACAGGAUGAUCAGCACAUCAAAUAUCGUUUUAAAGCGGGGUGGGGGUAAGCACAGCAAUGGAGGACAGUGUAUUCAAAAUAUGAAAAAAGCAAUUGUAUUGUUCCUUGGUAAAAUAAACUAUUAACCAUUGACGCUGUUUCAUUUAUUUCAUUGGUGGCUUGAACGCUAGACAUUAAGUAUCAGCGAAUGCUCAAUAUAUAUGGAGGGGUGGUUUGCUGGAUGCAGAGGCCCUGAGCUGUCAUCGAUGGAAAACG